UUACUAUAGCUUGACACUGAACAUUGAGCCUUGAUGUGUAGGAUAGGUGGGAGGCUUUGAAGUGUGGACGCCAGUCUGCAUGGAGCCGACCUUGAAAUACCACCCUUUAAUGUUUGAUGUUCUAACGUUGACCCGUAAUCCGGGUUGCGGACAGUGUCUGGUGGGUAGUUUGACUGGGGCGGUCUCCUCCUAAAGAGUAACGGAGGAGCACGAAGGUUGGCUAAUCCUGGUCGGACAUCAGGAGGUUAGUGCAAUGGCAUAAGCCAGCUUGACUGCGAGCGUGACGGCGCGAGCAGGUGCGAAAGCAGGUCAUAGUGAUCCGGUGGUUCUGAAUGGAAGGGCCAUCGCUCAACGGAUAAAAGGUACUCCGGGGAUAACAGGCUGAUACCGCCCAAGAGUUCAUAUCGACGGCGGUGUUUGGCACCUCGAUGUCGGCUCAUCACAUCCUGGGGCUGAAGUAGGUCCCAAGGGUAUGGCUGUUCGCCAUUUAAAGUGGUACGCGAGCUGGGUUUAGAACGUCGUGAGACAGUUCGGUCCCUAUCUGCCGUGGGCGCUGGAGAACUGAGGGGGGCUGCUCCUAGUACGAGAGGACCGGAGUGGACGCAUCACUGGUGUUCGGGUUGUCAUGCCAAUGGCACUGCCCGGUAGCUAAAUGCGGAAGAGAUAAGUGCUGAAAGCAUCUAAGCACGAAACUUGCC
rnacentral:rRNA from 1 species